AAUCAGCCUGAUUAGCAUGAACCACCGACUAUUGAUCGGUUGGCCAACCAACAGUUGGCUAUUCUCAACCAUCUCUAGCAGACUCUAACUAUGACGACUUAACUGAUUCCAAAUUGAUGACCAUCGACAUAAAUCGUCACACCAGAAAUCGUCAGCGCAGAAAGUGCAUAAUAAUCAGAACAUGAUCAAUGGUGGGUAUAACCGUCCAUCCCAC
rnacentral:lncRNA from 1 species